UAUAAACAUAAUAGAACUCCACCGCAAAUUAUCCGUGCCAAUCGAUUGCAAUCCACAGCAAAGACGAAAUUUGAAGGUUUGACAAUGAGCAAAUUAAAUCCAAGGUUGGAAGAUUAAAGAGAGACACAAAAACCUUCAAGGAGCUCCUUAAUUCUUGCUCUGUGUACUGAUGGGACCCUAUAACUAACACAGUUACCUGUCCAUCUGACAUUUGGGCGAAUCAUGUGAAGCAAAAGAAAGAGAAGAAUGCAUAUAUUUCCAAGUAUAGAUACCAAGGGCUUAAAGAUUUUGACUUACAAGAUGAGAUAUUUGGGAAUUCAUUUGCCACGGAAACCAUGUUAUGUAUAUCACAAAUCCUAAUUUUUCACAACAAUCAAAUGAAGCUAUUGCCGUGGAGAAUGAACCUUCUGAUUGUGACGACUACCCUGCUGACAGAGGGUGGAACACCUACACGUCGCAAAAAAAGUCGUGCUAUAGCCGCAACCUACUCAUAUGAUUAUUUUAAGGAGCACUUGGAGUGGAAGAGAAACAAAGAGGAAGCAAAAGAAAGAAAGAAGCAAGAACAAGAGCAGAUACAAGCGUCC